rnacentral:rRNA from 1 species
CCCGGACCUUGUACACACCGCCCGUCAAGCCAUGGGAGUUGGGGGUGCCUGAAGUAGUUAGCCUAACCGCAAGGAGGGCGAUUACCACGGCAGGGUUCGUGACUGGGGUG